AACUGGAAUAUUACAGAUAAAGCCCAUGAGGUAUUAAAGUAAACAUCCACAACUCUCGAAAUCCUGCAAUAUAGGAUGAUUUUGAAUCAGUGAUUAGGUCUUAUCUGACCGAUUCUUGGAAACUACUAGCUUUAGCAGUAUUUUGGAGGAUCUAAAGCCUUAGCUUGUGUACGGUCCAGAUAUCACCGAGCACCCAAGUAUAAAUUAGCCUUACAACUCUCUAACGGAAGCUUAAUAAUUUCAACUUAAGUUGCAUACUGACUUAGGAUUCGGGCUGACUUAGUAAUUAAAACUUUGUGUGCUUUUGAAAUUCUUGGCAUUUAUGCAUUUGAAAUUAGAUUUUAUAAAAUAAUAACUCUUUGAGUAGAGACAAACAGUUUGUGGGUAUCUGAGCUGGAAACCCUCACGAGACAAAACUCGUCCACUAGGGCCACCUAGGGGUUUAAAGCCUUAUUGCAUACGGUAAAUACAAUCGCGAUUCCUGCGAAAGUGAGUUAGUUUUUAUUUUGCUUGAGGACUAGCAAAAUGUAGGUUGGGGGGUGUGAUAAGUGCUAAAUAAUGCAUAAAUUAAUAUCUUAUUCAUAGCACUUAUCAUUAUUUUAAUUCACAUAUUUUGUAAAUUCAACUAAAAAAAUGUGUUACCUUCAUCAUUAAAUUUUAAUAAAUUAUUCGAGUUUUACUUAUAUACUGAUUAAGCUUAAUGAAUACAGGUCGAACUUAUUUGGGAUGAGCCCUGAACCCAAAUUUAUUGAGCUCAAACUCCCCUGUUCACUCCUUGCUAAGUCCAUCCCAAGUCAUCAUGCAAGUCCCCUUCAUUUCAAAGUAUCUUCCACGUAAUCCACCCAUACUCAAAAUAGAGCAAAUUCCCAACCGUCCACGUCGGCAUACAAGCUUGCAUGCCAUCCUCCCUCGUGUCCAAAAGUCUUGCUCCCAGCCAAAGGAAAUCACACUUCAUCCACCCACGUUUCACGAGCUUCAUCUCCCUUGCAUCCUUAUCUCUACUUCGGAACAGAGUUCCAGCUCGAGUAAUCUCAACUGUAUGCCUUCCUCCCCUUCAUCCACGUCAAAAGGAAUCCCAGGAAUUUAGCCUCCCAUGUCUUCCGAAGCCCCUGCAUUCCAGUGCUUCAUCCUCAUCCCGUGAAACGGCGACAUCCCAACCUCCCACGGAUUCCAUCUAAGCUUCAACUCCCAGCUGCCAGCCGUAAGCUUCAUUCCGCAUCGGCCACGUCAUGCAUCUUCCUCUAUUCCGAAAUCACUCCCGGCCGAAUCCAACUCCCAGCUCCCGCAUCCCAUUUCGAAUCCAACUUUCACCAAAUCCAGCGUCCCCAACGUCCAGCUUCAUUCUUCCGGAUUCCUCUCAGCCGAAGCCCCUGCAACUUUAUCCCAAACAAACACAGCUUCAUCUCGUUAUCCCUCCGCAUCACGUUCGUGAUCCCGCAUCCAACAAGAUCCCUGACUUCAGCUUUCUCUAGAAUCAAUCUCACCGUUCCAAGGAUCUCCUGUAUCCAUCAACAAAAAAAACCAUGCAUCUGUUCCCUAUUAUCAGCCGAUAUCCAAACAUCCCAUGACCAUAUCAAAUCCCCUGUUUCAUGCGGAUGAAAACCAGAAUCUUCUUCCGGACUGAUCCCAGUCGGAUUCCCAAAUCUCCCAACAUUCCAAAGCUUCCACGAAUCACGUUCCCAACUAAAUCCCAGCUCCUCUGUUCUCACCCGUGAUUCACUCAUCUCCUAGCCUUUAUCCCGUAAUCACCGUUCACAGCCGUCCCAGCUUCAUCCCUUCCACGUCCGAGUAUCCCAUGGAUCAACAUCCUAAGCGCAUCUGUUUCCUCCUCAACUUCCCUUCACGAAUCCGUUUCUUCCUCCCAUCCUGCACUGUCCACAUCAUCAUGCAUCCCGAGCUCCACGGAUUCCCCUGUUUCGGGAUUAAUCCGAACCAAUCCCAGCUUGUUCCAGCCGUUCUUAUCUCUUCUCCGCGAUCAGCUCUCAGAUAUAUUCUCCCCAACGUCUGGAUGAGAUACGACAAUAUCUUCUAUUAUCGGCGGAUCAGAUCAAGCUCUUCAUCAUUAUCCUCCCACUCGAAACAACCACGUGAAGAAACAGGGGAGGAGCGAGGGGAGUUGGCAAGUCUAUAAAAGGCCCAGGCGUGAACAUAGGAGCCAUCCUCUUCGGAACCAUUCCAAGGGAGCCGGUUGAUCCCAUCCAUCCUUCGGAGGAGUCAUCCCAGGAGACAGAGAAGGGAGGAGAGAAUCAGAGACGGGAGAAAGAAAAGAAGAAAUGGAAGCUCUCGGCGCUGCCACUGUUCAACCC
rnacentral:lncRNA from 1 species